rnacentral:tRNA from 1 species
UAGCUCAGUUGGUAGAGCAGCUGACUGUUAAUCAGCGGGUCGCUGGUUCGAGC